rnacentral:rRNA from 1 species
UACGUAGGGGGCAAGCGUUGUCCGGAAUUAUUGGGCGUAAAGAGCGUGUAGGCGGUCCGGUAAGUCGGCUGUGAAAGUCCAGGGCUCAACCCUGGGAUGCCGGUCGAUACUGCCGGACUAGAGUUCGGAAGAGGCGAGUGGAAUUCCCGGUGUAGCGGUGAAAUGUGCAGAUAUCGGGAGGAACACCUAUGGCGAAGGCAGCUCGCUGGGACGUUACUGACGCUGAGACGCGAAAGCGUGGGGAGCAAACAGG